rnacentral:rRNA from 1 species
AUUGAACGCUGGCGGCAGGCCUAACACAUGCAAGUCGAACGGUAACAGGAAGAAGCUUGCUUCUUUGCUGACGAGUGGCGGACGGGUGAGUAAUGUCUGGGAAACUGCCUGAUGGAGGGGGAUAACUACUGGAAACGGUAGCUAAUACCGCAUAACGUCGCAAGACCAAAGAGGGGGACCUUCGGGCCUCUUGCCAUCGGAUGUGCCCAGAUGGGAUUAGCUAGUAGGUGGGGUAACGGCUCACCUAUGCGACGCUCCCUAGCUGGUCUGAGAGGGUGACCAGCCAGCCUGGAAGUGAGACACGGUCCAGACUCCUACGGGAGGCAGCAGUGGGGAAUAUUGCACAAUGGGCGAAAGCCUGAUGCAGCCAUGCCGCGUGUAUGAAGAAGGCCUUCGGGUUGGAAAGUACUUUCGGCGGGGAGGAAGGGAGUAAAGUUAAUACCUUUACUCAUUGACGUUACCCGCAGAAGAAGCACCGGCUAACUCCGUG